UGGGGAAUAUUGCACAAUGGGGGAAACCCUGAUGCAGCGACGCCGCGUGAGCGAAGAAGGCCUUCGGGUUGUAAAAAUCUUUUGUAUGGGAAGAAAAUGACAGUACCAUACGAAUAAGGACCGGCUAAUUACGUGCCAGCAGCCGCGGUAAUACGUAAGGUCCGAGCGUUGUCCGGAAUCAUUGGGCGUAAAGGGUACGUAGGCGGAUAAGCAAGUUAGAAGUGAAAUCCUAUAGCUCAACUAUAGUAAGCUUUUAAAACUGCUCAUCUUGAGGUAUGGAAGGGAAAGUGGAAUUCCUAGUGUAGCGGUGAAAUGCGCAGAUAUUAGGAGGAAUACCGGUGGCGAAGGCGACUUUCUGGCCAUAUACUGACGCUGAGGUACGAAAGCGUGGGUAGCAAACAGG
rnacentral:rRNA from 1 species